AUGCCCAUGAUGAUUAGCUACAUGUUGGAAUUACUGUCAGAUUUUUAAGUGGCGAAAAUUUAUGCAGUUUUCUGAGGUUUUAA
rfam:Triticum aestivum genome assembly, contig: Triticum_aestivum_CS42_TGACv1_scaffold_435748_5DL